rnacentral:rRNA from 1 species
AUGAAAACUACAUAUGGGAAACUGCAGCAGAAGAGCAGCAGGAAGCGACACCGUAAUGAGGUAGAUGAGAAUGGUACAAACGUGCAGCAAGACACUUCAAUAUUCAGAAAGAGAAGUUUCUUCUUUCAUCUGACAUACUGGGAAACACUUCAAUUACGUCAUAAUCUGGAUCCUAUGCACAUAGAGAAGAAUGUUUUUGAGAAUAAUUCCCAUACCCUUCUAAAUGUUAGCAAAAGAUCAAAGGAUAAUCUAAAUGCAUGUCUUGACCUACAACAAUUGAAUAUACGCCAAGACCAACAUCCAUAUUUAACAGGGAGUAAACCAUACCUACCUCCAGCAUUAUACUACUUGGAUUCACACGGUGCUAACAUGUUUUGCCAGGUUCUAAAGGAUGCUAGGUUUCCUGAGGGCUAUGCAUCCAACUUGCACAACAAAGUGGAUAUAGUGAGAAAUAGAUUAAAUGGACUAAAGAGCCAUGACUGUCAUAUUAUAAUGCGUGAUCUGUUGCCCUUAGCCAUUAGGAGAACUUUGCCUGAAGAUGUUUGUAUUCCAUUGAUGCAUUUGUGCAACUACUUCAAGCAAUUAUACUCUAAGGUUAUCACUGUGAGUGAGAUACAAAAGUUGGAGGACGAGAUUCCUGAAAUCAUGUGCCAAUUGGAGAAAGUAUUUCCUCCUGCCUUUUUUGACAUCAUGGAACACUUGACCAUUCAUCUUGCAACUGAAGUACAGACUACUGGACCGGUGCAUUACUGA